CUGUGGUUAAGAGGUAUAGGGUUUCUUUUUGGGUUAAGAGGUAUAGGGUUUCUUUCUGGGGUGAUGAAAGUUGAUUAUAGAGAUGGUUGCACAAAUCUCUGAAUGUAAAAAAACCCACUGAAUUGCAUACUUUAAAUGGGUGAAUUGUAAGGUAUGUGAAUUUAUCUCAAUACAUUUUUUUUAAUGCUCUGUAUUUUCAUUGGACUUCACGGUUUUCAGAGAACUUUCAAAUGUAUUUUGUAUCAAUUUCCCAUCAUAAUCCUGUAUCUUUAAGAGAGAUCAAAGGAAGCGAAUAAUCGUUUACUGAUUACCUACAAUGUGCCCGGCAUCAUGCCGGUUUCUAUCUUGAUAUAAAGAGUAAACAAAAGAGUUUGGACUCCAGAAGCAGACUGCAUGAAUUCAGAUUUUGCUUGGCUGUGUACUAGCUGUGUGAUGAUUGGGCAUGGUAUUUACCUCUAUCUCCUUAUCUAUAAUGAUGGUAUCUGCUUCAUGGAAUUGUGGGGUUUAAUGAUCUGAUGCCUCGAAGUGUCCGGUACGAUGACUGCCAUUUUUACUGUGUUUAGGUGCCCUCAUCACUCUUCACAGCAGCCCUGGAGGAAGGUGGCACUGGCUCUGUCCCACAGGCCACUGGCCCAGAUGCUUGUCCUUGUUCCUCUACCUUGGACUCCUUUACCUCCCAGCUGAGUUGGACAUCCUGUCAGCCCAGGUUCAUUCUCUGCUACCUCCCCCCCCAGCUCUGCCAUCUGGGAUGGGGUGAAGCCAGGACAAGACGUCAUUUUGCAAAGGAGGCAGAGCCCAUAUCAGGAUGUCUUGGCACCAGGGUGAGUUU